GCAAGUCGAGCGAUACCAGCAAUGGUGGAGCGGCAGACGGGUGAGUAACACGUGGGAACGUACCCUUCGGUUCGGAAUAACUCAGGGAAACUUGAGCUAAUACCGGAUACGUCCGAGAGGAGAAAGAUUUAUCGCCGAAGGAUCGGCCCGCGUCUGAUUAGCUAGUUGGUGAGGUAACGGCUCACCAAGGCGACGAUCAGUAGCUGGUCUGAGAGGAUGAUCAGCCACAUUGGGACUGAGACACGGCCCAAACUCCUACGGGAGGCAGCAGUGGGGAGUAUUGGACAAUGGGCGCAAGCCUGAUCCAGCCAUGCCGCGUGAGUGAUGAAGGCCUUAGGGUUGUAAAGCUCUUUUACCUGGGAAGAUAAUGACGGUACCAGGAGAAUAAGCCCCGGCUAACUUCGUGCCAGCAGCCGCGGUAAUACGAAGGGGGCUAGCGUUGUUCGGAUUUACUGGGCGUAAAGCGCACGUAGGCGGAUCUUUAAGUCAGAGGUGAAAUCCCAAGGCUCAACCUUGGAACUGCCUUUGAUACUGGGGAUCUUGAGUCCGGGAGAGGUGAGUGGAACUGCGAGUGUAGAGGUGAAAUUCGUAGAUAUUCGCAAGAACACCAGUGGCGAAGGCGGCUCACUGGCCCGGUACUGACGCUGAGGUGCGAGAGCGUGGGGAGCAAACAGGAUUAGAUACCCUGGUAGUCCACGCC
rnacentral:rRNA from 1 species